rnacentral:misc_RNA from 1 species
AAAAUAUUUUUCGGUCACCUUUUCGAUUAAAAUCAAAUAAUGCACACUCCUUAUCUUUAUUCCGUAGACAAACCAGCUAGAGAUAUGCAUUCAACCUUGUCAUGGGACAAACGAAUUGGAUAAAGAAUUGUUAGCUUUUGUACUACAAUAGAAAACCGAGUAUUUCAUCUUAAGAUCUCGAGCCAAACUUUUCCUUCUAGUCUUCCCA